GGUUGGUUCUCCAUAAGUGCUAAGAAUAUUUUUCCUAGCAAAAAUUCCAAGAACAUGAACUUCAUGCAUAAGAGAGGAAGCUAGAAGCAUUUUUUCCAUAUGUGCUUUUGUGAUUCAUUCAUCUCCAAGCUCGAUGAUUCUACACAAAGCAAGUUUCAACUUUUCCAAAAGCUCUCUCUCUCUCGUGUGAAAAAAAGGCACCAAAAUGCAAUCUUCAUAUUCGAUUCCUUUUCACACAUAAUUAUUAGCCAUGGGGUUUCUGCAAAUAAACCCUUCUCACUAUUUCCAUAAACCAAAUCAUGCAAGAAGAAGAAGAAGAAGACACCUCUCUCUUCUUUCUCUUUCGCCCUCUAUAUCUUAAAGGUGAAAAACAUGGACUCUUCUUCGCAGUUUCUUUUCCUUGUAGGCUCAAUUUUCUUGAUGUUGAUUUCAACAUUAAAUUUCCCAGAAAUUAUUGCAGCAGAAAUUCAGGCUUCUGCCGUUACCUCUUCUCUCCCAGGUAAUCAUGGCAAAUGACCCAGGCCGGCCUGCAGCCCAACUUGAAGCACGGGAAAAUAACUUAGCCCAAAAAACCUCAGCCCGAUACUGUAAUACAAACCUCAGCCUGAUACUGUAAUACACUGAGUCAAACCCUUGGGCCUAGACAUUAGGCCUAUGGGCUGGCCCAACCCAGCCACUACUGUUUAUAUAAUUAUUUAAAAAAUAAUUAAUUAAUUUACUAAUAUUUAUAAUAUAAAAAAUUAUUUUUUAUUAAAUUUAAC